rnacentral:rRNA from 1 species
GCAGUCGAGCGGAUGAAGGGAGCUUGCUCCUGGAUUCAGCGGCGGACGGGUGAGUAAUGCCUAGGAAUCUGCCUGGUAGUGGGGGAUAACGUCCGGAAACGGGCGCUAAUACCGCAUACGUCCUGAGGGAGAAAGUGGGGGAUCUUCGGACCUCACGCUAUCAGAUGAGCCUAGGUCGGAUUAGCUAGUUGGUGGGGUAAAGGCCUACCAAGGCGACGAUCCGUAACUGGUCUGAGAGGAUGAUCAGUCACACUGGAACUGAGACACGGUCCAGACUCCUACGGGAGGCAGCAGUGGGGAAUAUUGGACAAUGGGCGAAAGCCUGAUCCAGCCAUGCCGCGUGUGUGAAGAAGGUCUUCGGAUUGUAAAGCACUUUAAGUUGGGAGGAAGGGCAGUAAGUUAAUACCUUGCUGUUUUGACGUUACCAACAGAAUAAGCACCGGCUAACUUCGUGCCAGCACCGCGGUAAUACGAAGGGGCAAGCGUUAUCGGAAUUACUGGGCGUAAAGCGCGCGUACGUGGUUCACCAAGUUGGAUGUGAAAUCCCCGGGCUCAACCUGGGAACUGCAUCCAAAACUACUGAGCUAGAGUACGGUAGAGGGUGGUGGAAUUUCCUGUGUAGCGGUGACAUGCGUAGAUAUAGGAAGGAACACCAGUGGCGAGAGCGACCACCUGGACUGAUACUGACACUGAGGUGCUAAAGCGUGGGGAGCAAACAGGAGUAGAUACCCUGGUAGUCCACGCCGUAAACGAUGUCGACUAGCCGUUGGGAUGCUUGAGAUCUUAGUGGCGCAGCUAACGCGAUAAGUCGACCGCCUGGGGAGUCUGCCGCAAGGUAAAACUCAAAUGAUUGACGGGGGCCGCACAACGGGGGACAUGUGGUUAAUUCAAGCACUCNAAUACCUUACUGGCCUGACUGCUGAGACUUCCAGAGAUGAUUGUGCCUCGGAACUCAACAAAGUGCUC